UAGGGAAUCUUGCGCAAUGGGCGAAAGCCUGACGCAGCCAUGCCGCGUGAAUGAUGAAGGUCUUAGGAUUGUAAAAUUCUUUCACCGGGGAAGAUAAUGACGGUACCCGGAGAAGAAGCCCCGGCUAACUUCGUGCCAGCAGCCGCGGUAAUACGAAGGGGGCUAGCGUUGCUCGGAAUUACUGGGCGUAAAGGGCGCGUAGGCGGAUAUUUAAGUUGGGGGUGAAAGCCCGGGGCUCAACCUCGGAAUAGCCUUCAAUACUGGAUAUCUUGAGUUCGGGAGAGGUGAGUGGAAUGCCGAGUGUAGAGGUGAAAUUCGUAGAUAUUCGGCGGAACACCAGUGGCGAAGGCGACUCACUGGCCCGAUACUGACGCUGAGGCGCGAAAGCGUGGGGAGCAAACAGGAUUAGAUACCCUGGUAGUCCACGCCGUAAAACGAUGAGUGCUAGUUGUCGGCAUGCAUGCAUGUCGGUGACGCAGCUAACGCAUUAAGCACUCCGCCUGGGGAGUACGGUCGCAAGAUUAAAAACUCAAAUGAAUUGACGGGGGUCAUAGCUGUUUCCUG
rnacentral:rRNA from 1 species